UGCUACCUUCGAAGGAGCCCGACGAGACGCGCCGUACCGGGACCGGUAACAGCAAAGACGACGCACC
rnacentral:ncRNA from 1 species